GGGGCUGUGGCUCAGUGCUAGAGUGCUUGCCUCACAAAAAAAAGGCACUGGUUUCCAUCCUCGGCACCACAUAAAAAUACAUAAAAUAAAUAAAUAUAUAUAUAUAAAAGUAAAAUGUUAAAAAAAGUAGGCAAAGGAUCUAAAUUGUUCUCUCAAGAAGACAUAAAAGUGGGGCAUGGUGGCGCAUGCCUGUAAUCCCCUAGCAGCUUGGGAGGCUGAGCAGGAGGAUCAUGAGUUCAAAGCCAGCCUCA
rnacentral:tRNA from 1 species